GACGAACGCUGGCGGCGUGCUUAACACAUGCAAGUCGAACGAUGAAGCCGGAGCUUGCUCCGGUGGAUUAGUGGCGAACGGGUGAGUAACACGUGAGUAACCUGCCCUUGACUCUGGGAUAACUGCUAGAAAUGGUAGCUAAUACCGGAUACGACCCUCGGAGGCAUCUCCAGGGGGUGGAAAGAAUUUCGGUCAAGGAUGGACUCGCGGCCUAUCAGCUAGUUGGUGAGGUAACGGCUCACCAAGGCGACGACGGGUAGCCGGCCUGAGAGGGUGACCGGCCACACUGGGACUGAGACACGGCCCAGACGCCUACGGGAGGCAGCAGUGGGGAAUAUUGCACAAUGGGCGCAAGCCUGAUGCAGCAACGCCGCGUGAGGGAUGACGGCCUUCGGGUUGUAAACCUCUUUUAGUAGGGAAGAAGCGAAAGUGACGGUACCUGCAGAAAAAGCACCGGCUAACUACGUGCCAGCAGCCGCCGUAA
rnacentral:rRNA from 1 species